rnacentral:rRNA from 1 species
AUUGAACGCUGGCGGCAUGCCUUACACAUGCAAGUCGAACGGCAGCACGGGAGCAAUCCUGGUGGCGAGUGGCGAACGGGUGAGUAAUAUAUCGGAACGUGCCCAGUAGUGGGGGAUAACUGCUCGAAAGAGCAGCUAAUACCGCAUACGACCUGAGGGUGAAAGGGGGGGAUCGCAAGACCUCUCGCUAUUGGAGCGGCCGAUAUCAGAUUAGCUAGUUGGUGGGGUAAAGGCCUACCAAGGCAACGAUCUGUAGUUGGUCUGAGAGGACGACCAGCCACACUGGGACUGAGACACGGCCCAGACUCCUACGGGAGGCAGCAGUGGGGAAUUUUGGACAAUGGGCGCAAGCCUGAUCCAGCAAUGCCGCGUGCAGGAAGAAGGCCUUCGGGUUGUAAACUGCUUUUGUCAGGGAAGAAAUCCUCUAGGUUAAUACCCUUGGGGGGAUGACGGUACCUGAAGAAUAAGCACCGGCUAACUACGUGCCAGCCGCCGCGGUAA